UAGAGAAUCUGCCCUGUACUGGGGGACGAACAGAGGGAAACUUCUGCUAAUACCCCAUAUGAGCGUACCUGCGAUGGUAUUCUUGAAAGUUCCGGCGGUACAGGAUGAGUCUGCAUCUGAUUAGCUAGUUGGUGGUGUAAUGGACUACCAAGGCGACGAUCAGUAGCUGGUUUGAGAGGAUGAUCAGCCACAAUGGGACUGAGACACGGCCCAUACUCCUACGGAAGGCAGCAG
rnacentral:rRNA from 1 species